rnacentral:miRNA from 1 species
UAGCAAGCGGAACAUUUGCACA